rnacentral:rRNA from 1 species
CCUACGGGCGGCAGCAGUGAGGAAUAUUGGUCAAUGGACGAAAGUCUGAACCAGCCAAGUAGCGUGAAGGAUGACUGCCCUAUGGGUUGUAAACUUCUUUUGUAAAGGAAUAAAACCAGACACGUGUGCCUUUUUGCAUGUACUUUAUGAAUAAGGAUCGGCUAACUCCGUGCCAGCAGCCGCGGUAAUACGGAGGAUCCGAGCGUUAUCCGGAUUUAUUGGGUUUAAAGGGAGCGUAGAUGGGUUGUUAAGUCAGUGGUGAAAGUUUGCGGCUCAACCUUAGAAUUGCAAUUGAUACUGGUCGUCUUGAGUACAGUUGAGGUAGGCGGAAUUCGUGGUGUAGCGGUGAAAUGCUUAGAUAUCACGAAGAACCCCGAUUGCGAAGGCAGCUUACUAAGCUGUGACUGACAUUGAUGCUCGAAAGUGUGGGUAGCAAACAGGAUUAGAUACCCGGGUAGUC